rnacentral:lncRNA from 1 species
AGGAUGUUGAUGGAUAAGUGUUUCAGGCAGAAUAAUGGCCCUCAAAGAUGUUGACACCAGAAUCUUCAGAACCUUUGCAUAUGUUACCUAACAUGACAAAAGGGACUUUGCUGAUGUGAUUAAGGUUAAGAACUUUGAGAAGGGAAGAUUAUCCUGGAUUAUACAGGUCGACGUUUAUUUCUUUCUGAACUUUCCUGGAGGAUCAUCGGCCAUACUCCAGCAGAAGGGUGGAUUUGAAAAAAUAACGAAGACGUUGGAGAAUUCACAUGCUAUUUUAGCUGGCUCUGUGAUUGCAAUCACACAAAUCAUUACAUUCCAGCGAGAUCCCAUCAACAGAAGGUUUUUCCAUUUCAGUCUGUCAAGUUUUUCAGGCAUGAAUACUGUAAGCAAGAAGAGAAAAGUUACAAUAAAUUGACAUUUAUAGUUGAA